AUAUAUGACGAGUCCCAAACAGGACGAAACGCGCGUCCUGGAU
rnacentral:hammerhead_ribozyme from 1 species